rnacentral:rRNA from 1 species
UACAUAGGUCCCAAGCGUUGUUCGGAUUCAUUGGGCGUAAAGGGUGCGUAGGCGGCUCGGUAAGUCGGGUGUGAAAUCUCGGAGCUUAACUCCGAAACUGCAUUCGAUACUGCCGUGCUUGAGGACUGGAGAGGAGACUGGAAUUUACGGUGUAGCGGUGAAAUGCGUAGAUAUCGUAAGGAAGACCAGUGGCGAAGGCGGGUCUCUGGACAGUUCCUGACGCUGAGGCACGAAGGCCAGGGGAGCAAACGGG